rnacentral:misc_RNA from 1 species
GAAAUGCGAUAAGUAGUGUGAAUUGCAGAAUUCAGUGAAUCAUCGAAUCUUUGAACGCACAUUGCGCCCUUUGGUAUUCCUUAGGGCAUGCCUGUUCGAGCGUCAUCUAAACCUUCAAGCCCUGCUUGGUGUUGGGUGCCUGUCCCGCCUCCGCGCGCGGACUCACCUCAAAUCCAUUGGCGGCCCCCGCGUCGGCCACGAGCGCAGCAGAAAAGCGAACUCGUGAGCCCGUCCGGGCGGCUCCCAGAAGCUACACCCACCCAGUUUGACCUCGGAUCAGGUAGGGAUACCCGCUGAACUUAAGC